CGAAGAAAACCAGCAUCAAUUAUCGGAGACUCAUUUAAAGGAUGUAUAGAAAUGUUACGGAUACAGGCAACGGAAGCAAGUAUUAAAGGAAGGUAGGAAGAACGAAGCAAUCUUAAUAAAGAGGGUAGGGCAUUGCUUUGAACAAUUUCUAUUUGAUAACGCUCAUCAGAGGCAAGGUUUCUUAAUGCUAAAGCAGCUUGGCACUGGACUUUAGGACUUGAAGUAUCCAUUAAUUGAAUAAGAG